rnacentral:rRNA from 1 species
GCACCUACGGGACGCAGCAGUGGGGGAUAUUGCACAAUGGGGGAAACCCUGAUGCAGCGACGCCGCGUGAGCGAUGAAGUAUUUCGGUAUGUAAAGCUCUAUCAGCAGGGAAGAAAAUGACGGUACCUGACUAAGAAGCCCCGGCUAACUACGUGCCAGCAGCCGCGGUAAUACGUAGGGGGCACGCGUUAUCCGGAUUUACUGGGUGUAAAGGGAGCGUAGACGGCAGUGAAAGUCUGAAGUGAAAGGCAAGGGCUCAACCCUUGGACUGCUUUGGAAACUGUGCUGCUGGAGGGUCGGAGCGG